rnacentral:rRNA from 1 species
CCUACGGGAGGCAGCAGUGGGGGAUAUUGCACAAUGGGGGGAACCCUGAUGCAGCGACGCCGCGUGGGUGAAGAAGCGCCUCGGCGCGUAAAGCCCUGUCAGCAGGGAAGAAAAUGACGGUACCUGAAGAAGAAGCCCCGGCUAACUACGUGCCAGCAGCCGCGGUAAUACGUAGGGGGCAAGCGGUAUCCGGAUUUACUGGGUGUAAAGGGGGCGCAGACGGGGAUGCAAGCCAGGAGGGAAAGCCCGGGGGCCAACCCCGGGACUGCUCUUGGAACUGCGUGGCUGGAGUGCAGGAGGGGCAGGCGGAAUGCCUGGUGUAGCGGUGAAAUGCGUAGAUAUCAGGAGGAACACCGGUGGCGAAGGCGGCCUGCUGGACUGCAACUGACGUUGAGGCCCGAAAGCGUGGGGAGCAAACAGGAUUAGAUACCCGUGUAGUC